AACUGCUGAUGAUGUGGAUAGUCCUGAAGAAGAGCUUUGAACCACUCCCAUGUAUGAUAUAAGUUCUCAUCUGGCUUCUGUUUAAAGCAUAAAAUCUCACUAUGUAUUCU